rnacentral:rRNA from 1 species
GACGAACGCUGGCGGCGUGCCUAAUACAUGCAAGUCGAACGCAGUUGGGACGGGUGAGAAACACGUGGGUAACCUCCCAUCAGAGGCGAUAACACUUGGAAACAGGUGCUAAACCGAUAAUGCUGGAUGGACUCGCGGUGCAUUAGCUAGUUGGGGAGGUAACGGCACACCAAGGCCACGAUGCAAAGGCGACCGGAGAGGGUGAUCGGCCACACUGGGACUGAGACACGGCCCAGACUCCUACGGGAGUCAGCAGUAGGGAAUCUUCGGCAAUGGGCGAAAGUCUGACCGAGCAACGCCGCGUGAGUGAAGAAGGUUUUCGGAUCGUAAAACUCUGUUGUUAGAGAAGCGGUAUCUAACCAGAAAGCCACGGCUAACUACGUGCCAGCCGCCGCGGUAAUUC